UUUACGCCAAAACUGCUACUUUCCGGGUUUUACAACUAUUUUUAUUAUACAGGUGCUAAAGAUGGGCUAUUCUGAUAAAUGAAUAAAUGUGUACAAAUGUGCUUUUUGCAAUGUUAUAAGGACGAGAUGUUAUCUUAAAAAGUAAUACUUUAAACGGCAUUCAUUGGAACAUAUAAGAAACACGGGAAACUUUAUCUAUCUAUUCAAAAAUCUAUCCACGGAACUCUAAAAAUCCCAAAGAUUAAAGUUUUAAAAUUAAUUGAGGAAAGCUGGAUGGCGCAUGUGCGAGUGACGCGCCUUUUUUAAAAGCCAGGCCGAUUGGAUGUCGAAUAAAGGUUCCCAAGUUACGGUCUUGGCAGGUGGAUCGAAUCAACCAACAGAGUGAAAUGUCCACAUUCUAAAGUGAAAUUCUUCCAGUUUUGUCGUCUCGAGGCUUUUAAUCUAUUUCAGUGGAGAGCCAACUGUUAUAAUGAGUAAUUUAUUUAA